rnacentral:sRNA from 1 species
CAGCGUCCUCUUUCCCCACCUCCCUCCCUCCCUCGCUCCAUGAACUAUUGACGUAUGCAUUUCUGUAGAUGGGGGAAAAGUCUCAAGUCCAUGUCCAUUUCAACCCUAAUCAUCUCCCAACCCUCUGCUUUCACCUUGGCUGGUAGAACAUGUUUGAUACAAGAAACUUCAUGUUCUCUAUUCUCUGUUGCGCAGCCUUAAAGUCUGAUCCGAGGACUUCAAAUGAGAUAUUUGAAACAAACAUAUUCGUGUAUCAUCAAGCUAGCUCUUGAGGAGGAAUCGCGAGAACAGAGGCAGGCCUCUUGGACGUCCCUUUGAUAUCACGUUCGUGCUGCUGAGGAUCGCACCGGCAUUUAAGAAUGGCUUCCCCAUUGUUUGAAUUUCUGCGAUUUAGUCGACUGUAGCAUAUUGAAAGCUGCCGAUAGGGAUUUUUGGUGCUUUCCAUCUGGGCGAAUGCAUUCGCAAGGGGAAGCGUGUCUCCCCCGAUCAUUGAAGAGCAAUCGAGAUGGCUUGUUUUGGCUUUAUUCGUAUGCCACAUAAUGUUCAUUGCAUUGGAGCGUUUUUCUAUUUUUGCAACAGUCCAGUCGAAUUCUGGAAAUCUCACCUCUUCCAUCGCCUAUUCAGUAUUUCCAAGAUAGCCGUCGUUGGACGGCGGCUUGUUGUGACAUAGUCGUUAUGCGCUGUGGAUCUUAGAGCUUGACUUGGGGUUCUUUUUCUUUUCUCUCUCUUUUCUCCUCUUUCCUUUCCUUUCUUUUUCGAGGCCGCAUGUGUUUCCGAAGGGUUUAAAUAUAGAAGUUCAUGAUUAAAUAUAGCUAAGUUUGAGAUUUGUCGGGUCUGACCUCGGAGUUAUUAUUGAAUAGCUUGAACCAAAUAAUUUUCCCUCCCAGUGCAGAAGAGAACAGUCACAAUGGUCCUAUCCGACAAAAAUACCCGAAGCAUGCCAUUGUAAACGGCCAUCGCCAUAGCUGCUGAAACCCCACGGAUCUCCCCGCUGCAUUAAUGAGCCCCUUUGAUCCCCCGCCGCUUGCAGCCCACCUCCUCGCCUCCCCUCUCCUAUUCAUCCUCCGCCCGCUACACGCUCUCCUCCUCAACCUCCGCCCGGCCCCAUGCACCCGCACCCCCUCCCAACGCCCCAUCCGCGUCGUUUGCAUUUCUGACACUCACGACCAUCACUUGCCGAGCGUGCCGGAUGGAGACCUGCUGAUUCACGCGGGAGAUUUGACGAACAGCGGGACGCGGGCGGAUAUUCAGCUGGCGGUGGAUUGGCUGAAGACGCUACCGCAUGCUCAGAAGGUGGUUGUGGCUGGGAAUCAUGACGGGUGGUUAGAUACCGGUGUUCGGGGCUUUAUUUCCUCGUGCAAUGCGGAGGAUGGGACUGGUGAUGGCGACGCGCAGGCCAUCGAUUGGGGCUCUAUCCAUUACCUGCAGAACAACAGCUUGACCCUCACGUUUCCGUCUCCCGCUUCCGCGGAUAGUGGCAGAUCUAGCCACUCUACGACAAGUGCCAAUGCCCCAUCUCGGACGCUGACGAUUCACGGCGCCCCGCAAAUCCCACAGCUGGACCCUUCACCGGAUUCAGUGCACGCCUUCCAAUAUCCCCCCUCCCUUGAUCCCACUACCACUACUACUGCUGCUGCUGCCACAUCUGGGAUCAGCGACUUCCACGCUUACCCAUAUCCCACCCCCAUCCCCCACAACACCGACAUCUUAGUCACCCACACGCCUCCCGCCUACCAUCUCGACAAUUACCCCUACUCCGUCGGCUGUCCCUUUGUUCUCCGCGCAAUCUGGCGUGUCCGCCCGCUUCUACAUGUCUGCGGCCACGUGCAUGUGGGCCGCGGCGUGGACAGGGCUUACUACGACCGUGUGCAGGAGGCAUGGGAGGCGCUAUGUGCGGUGCGGUCGGAGCAGGGGCUAUUAUGGGAGCGUGGGAGCGGAAUUGGG